CCCUUAGAUGUCCUGGGCCGCACGCGUGCUACACUGACGCCUGCAGCGAGCACUUCCCAGCCCCGAAAGGCGGCUGGCAAUCAGCAAUAGGCGUCGUGAUGGGGAUAGAUCUUUGGAACUAUGGAUCUUGAACGAGGAAUGCCUAGUAAGCGCAGGUCAUUAGCCUGCGCUGAUUAAGUCCCUGCCCUUUGUACACACCGCCCGUCGCUCCUACCGAUUGAGUGGUCCGGUGAAUCUUUCGGACUGUGCGCGGUCUCGUGCCGUGUCGCGGAAAGUCAGGUAAACCUUAUCACUUAGAGGAAGGAGAAGUCGUAACA
rnacentral:rRNA from 1 species